rnacentral:rRNA from 1 species
UACGUAGGGUGCAAGCGUUGUCCGGAAUUAUUGGGCGUAAAGAGCUCGUAGGCGGUCUGUCGCGUCGGCUGUGAAAACCCGGAGCUCAACUCCGGGCCUGCAGUCGAUACGGGCAGACUGGAGUUCGGCAGGGGAGACUGGAAUUCCUGGUGUAGCGGUGAAAUGCGCAGAUAUCAGGAGGAACACCUGUGGCGAAAGCGGCUCACUGGACCAUAACUGACGCUGAUGCACGAAAGCUAGGGGAGCAAACAGG